rnacentral:ncRNA from 1 species
UAACGAACGAUAAUCUUACUUUCAAGUAGCGAAUUAACUGUGCGUCAGGAAGUCGGUGGGUGCUGCGAACCGAUCAGGUUAAUCUCGAUGAAAUACGGUAGGAGAGGUCCGGGUACGCCCGGCGGAUAACAACUAGAGCCGUUAACUGCUAGUGAGUGGAGUCAUAUUGUGGCUCAAGCUGGGUGGUACCACGGUCUAAUCAAUCGUCCCUGUU